rnacentral:rRNA from 1 species
ACACGACUACAUUAGAUACCCCUGUAGUCCUAGCCGUAAACGAUACUCGCUAGGUGUCGGCCACGGUGCGACCGUUGUCGGUGCCGUAGGGAAGCCGUGAAGCGAGCCACCUGGGAAGUACGGCCGCAAGGCUGAAACUUAAAGGAAUUGGCGGGGGAGCACAACAACGGGUGGAGCUUGCGGUUUAAUCGGACUCAACGCCGGGAAUCUCACCGGAUAAGACAGCUGAAUGAUAGUCGGGAUGAAGACUCUACUUGACUAGCUG